UACUGAAGGUGCGAGCGUUAAUCGGAGUUACUGGGCGUAAAGGGCACGUAGGUGGUUUGAUAAGUUAGAUGUGAAAGCCCAGGGCUUAACCUUGGAACUGCAUCUGAUACUGUCCGACUAGAGUACAGAAGAGGGAGGUGGAAUUUCCUGUGUAGCGGUGAAAUGCGUAGAUAUAGGAAGGAACAUCAGUGGCGAAGGCGGCCUCCUGGACUGAUACUGACACUGAGGUGCGAAAGCGUGGGGAGCAAACAGG
rnacentral:rRNA from 1 species